rnacentral:rRNA from 1 species
ACAUGCAAGUCGAACGGAAGUUUAAGCAAUUAAACUUUAGUGGCGAACGGGUGAGUAACGCGUAAGCAAUCUGCCCCUAAGACGAGGAUAACAGUUGGAAACGACUGCUAAGACUGGAUAGGAGAUAAGAAGGCAUCUUUUUAUUUUUAAAAGACCUAGCAAUAGGUAUGCUUAGGGAAGAGCUUGCGUCACAUUAGUUAGUUGGUGGGGUAAUGGCCUACCAAGACGAUGAUGUGUAGCCGGGCUGAGAGGUCGAACGGCCACAUUGGGACUGAGACACGGCCCAAACUCCUACGGGAGGCAGCAGUAAGGAAUUUUCGGCAAUGGAGGAAACUCUGACCGAGCAAUGCCGCGUGAACGAUGAAGUAUUUCGGUACGUAAAGUUCUUUUAUUAGGGAAGAAAAGAUGGUGGAAAAACCAUUAUGACGGUACCUAAUGAAUAAGCCCCGGCUAACUAUGUGCCAGCAGCCGCGGUAAUACAUAGGGGGCAAGCGUUAUCCGGAAUUAUUGGGCGUAAAGGGUGCGUAGGCGGUUAAAUAAGUUUAUGGUCUAAGUGCAACGCUCAACGUUGUGAUGCUAUAAAAACUGUUUAGCUAGAGUUGGAUAGAGGCAAGUGGAAUUCCGUGUGUAGUGGUAAAAUGCGUAAAUAUACGGAGGAACACCAGAAGCGAAGGCGGCUUGCUGGGUCUUAACUGACGCUGAGGCACGAAAGCGUGGGGAGCAAACAGGAUUAGAUACCCUGGUAGUCCACGCCCUAAACGAUGAGUACUAAACGUUGGAUAAAACCAGUGUUGAAGUUAACACAUUAAGUACUCCGCCUGAGUAGUACGUACGCAAGUAUGAAACUUAAAGGAAUUGACGGGACUCCGCACAAGCGGUGCAUCAUGUUGUUUAAUUCGAAGGUACCCGAAAACCUCACCAGUCUGACAUGCUUUUGCAAAGCUGUAGAAAAUACAGUGGAGGUUAUCAGAAGCACAGGUGGUGCAUGGUUGUCGUCAGCUCGUGUCGUGAGAUGUUGGGUUAAGUCCCGCAACGAGCGCAACCCUUGUUGUUAAUUGCCAUCAUUAAGUUGGGGACUUUAGCAAGACUGCCAAUGAUAAAUUGGAGGAAGGUGGGGACGACGUCAAAUCAUCAUGCCCCUUAUGACCUGGGCUACAAACGUGAUACAAUGGCUGUUACAAAGGGUAGCUAAAGCGUAAGCUUCUGGCGAAUCUCAAAAAAGCAGUCUCAGUUCGGAUUGAAGUCUGCAACUCGACUUCAUGAAGUUGGAAUCGCUAGUAAUCGCGAAUCAGCAUGUCGCGGUGAAUACGUUCUCGGGGUUUGUACACACCGCCCGUCAAACCACGAAAGUUGGCAAUACCCAAAGCCGGUGGCCUAACUUGAGCAAUCAAGAAGGAGCCGUCUAAGGUAGGGUUGAUGAUUGGGGUUAAGUCGUAACAAGGUAUCCCUACCGGAAGGUGGGGAUGGAUCACCUCCUUUCU